rnacentral:rRNA from 1 species
GAUGAACGCUGGCGGCGUGCCUAAUACAUGCAAGUCGAGCGAACAGACGAGGAGCUUGCUCCUCUGACGUUAGCGGCGGACGGGUGAGUAACACGUGGAUAACCUACCUAUAAGACUGGGAUAACUUCGGGAAACCGGAGCUAAUACCGGAUAAUAUAUUGAACCGCAUGGUUCAAUAGUGAAAGACGGUUUUGCUGUCACUUAUAGAUGGAUCCGCGCCGCAUUAGCUAGUUGGUAAGGUAACGGCUUACCAAGGCAACGAUGCGUAGCCGACCUGAGAGGGUGCUCGGCAACGCUGGAACUGGGGCACGGUCCAGACUCCUACGGGAGGCAGCAGUAGGGAAUCUUCCGCAAUGGGCGAAAGGCUGACGGAGCAACGCCGCGUGAGUGAUGAAGGUCUUCGGAUCGUAAAACUCUGUUAUUAGGGAAGAACAAAUGUGUAAGUAACUAUGCACGUCUUGACGGUACCUGAUAAGAAAGCCACGGCUAACUACGUG